rnacentral:rRNA from 1 species
GUCUAUGGCCGUGCCACCCUGAACAAGCCCGAUCCCGUCUGAUCUCAGAAGCUAAGCGGGGUUGGGCCUGGUUAGUACUUGGAUGGGAGACCACCUAGGAAGAUCAGUGUUGUAGGUG